AUUGAACGCUGGCGGCAGGCCUAACACAUGCAAGUCGAGCGAGCGGCGGACGGGUGAGUACUGUCUGGGAAACUGCCUGAUGGAGGGGGAUAACUACUGGAAGCGGUAGCACAUACUGCGUACAAUCGAAUGUGGCCAGAUGGGAUUAGCUGGUAGGUGGGGUACCGGCUAACCUAGGCGACGAUCCCUAGCUGGUCUGGGAGGAUGAUCAGCCACACUGGAACUGAGACACGGUCCAGACUCCUACGGGAGGCAGCAGUGGGGAAUAUUGCACAAUGGGCGCAAGCCUGAUGCAGCCAUGCCGCGUGUAUGAAGAAGGCCUUCGGGUUGUAAAGCACUUUCAGCUGGGAGGCGUUACCAGCAGAAGAAGCACCGGCUAACUCCGUGCCAGCCGCCGCGGUAAUUC
rnacentral:rRNA from 1 species